UGUUGUUGGAAGUUUGCUUCAUCACUUUAUUAUCUGAUAGAGCUUGAAACCCAAUUAAUACAUAGAUUUAGGUGUAUUGAAACAGAAUUUAAUUUGAAUAUGUAGUAGUAACCCUACAUUAUCUGCUCUUUGUAAAAUACUUCUUAAAUGCAUUGUAGGUGGGGUUUACACCAAUGUUGUCUCUGAUUUGAUUUUAAUGGUUUUAUAAGAGUUUUAAGAUAUGAGCUUACUUUAAUUAGUUAUGGAGGGCUGAUAAUAUCAGUCACCUCUUACUGUUUUUAAUACAGAUUAAUGAAUGACACUACAGCAAUAAUGUUUUGGAUGAAGAAGCAAUAUUUAAAUUCUUCCUUCUUAUUUUUUAGCCAAAGUUCGAGGCUUUGUACUAUGUGUGGAGUGUGGUAAGAGGAGGGUGGUUUAUUGUAAGACCAGGCUGACACGACCACAGGAACAACUAAUAAUACGUGUCCAGGAGGAGUUGCUGUAUGUUUGUGGUAAUCCACUCUUUCCUGGAGGACCUAUGCAAGACAUCCUUAUCGUAAGAGAAGGAUUGAGUUGUUCAUCCCCAAUAGAGGUGUCUUAUUAUGCUGGAAUAACACAGACAUUUGAUGAAAUAUGUUUCUUCUGUGGUGAUGUGGACAUUUUGAGAAAUGACGAGAUCAACCAACUGAAGGAGGACUUCAGCAUUGUCAGACCAAUUUGCAAUACAUGCUUUACUGUCAAUCAUCUCAAACCAGCCACUAGGAAUGCAAAAAAAACCAAAAAACAGAAGACAAAUUAAAAUUAAUACACAAAAUAUGUAUAGAUCAUAGAAACUUUCUACAAAACAUUAUUAAUACGUAAAAAAGGUUAUAUUUUUUAAUGGUGCUGAUAAGGUCAGAGUUUUAUAUGUGACAUGUGUUUGCCUUGUAAAAGUGUAAUGUUGUAAGGAAAGUCAUAUGUGAAGUUCGGAGUAACUGUAAAUAUUUGAAUGGAAGUUUUGGAGUGGCAUUUUUAAAAAUAGGUUAUAUUUUAAUGGUGCUGAUUUAUGUGACAUGUGUAUGCCUUGUAUUAAAGUGUAAUGUUGUAUAUUUCAUUUUAUAAUAAAAUGGAAAGUCGUA